GAUGUGCUUCAAUACCGUC
rnacentral:siRNA from 1 species